rnacentral:rRNA from 1 species
CGGUAAUACGGAGGAUCCAAGCGUUAUCCGGAAUCAUUGGGUUUAAAGGGUCCGUAGGCGGUCAAGUAAGUCAGUGGUGAAAGCCCAUCGCUCAACGGUGGAACGGCCAUUGAUACUGCUUGACUUGAAUUAUUAGGAAGUAACUAGAAUAUGUAGUGUAGCGGUGAAAUGCUUAGAGAUUACAUGGAAUACCAAUUGCGAAGGCAGGUUACUACUAAUUGAUUGACGCUGAUGGACGAAAGCGUGGGUAGCGAACAGGAUUAGAUACCCUGGUAGUCCACGCCGUAAACGAUGGAUACUAGCUGUUGGGAGCAAUCUCAGUGGCUAAGCGAAAGUGAUAAGUAUCCCACCUGGGGAGUACGUUCGCAAGAAUGAA